rnacentral:rRNA from 1 species
GACGAACGCUGGCGGCGUGCUUAACACAUGCAAGUCGAACGGAAAGGCCCUGCUUUUGUGGGGUGCUCGAGUGGCGAACGGGUGAGUAACACGUGAGUAACCUGCCCUUGACUUUGGGAUAACUUCAGGAAACUGGGGCUAAUACCGGAUAGGAGCUCCUGCUGCAUGGUGGGGGUUGGAAAGUUUCGGCGGUUGGGGAUGGACUCGCGGCUUAUCAGCUUGUUGGUGGGGUAGUGGCUUACCAAGGCUUUGACGGGUAGCCGGCCUGAGAGGGUGACCGGCCACAUUGAGACUGAGAUACGGCCCAGACUCCUACGGGAGGCAGCAGUGGGGAAUAUUGCACAAUGGGCGGAAGCCUGAUGCAGCAACGCCGCGUGCAGGAUGACGGCCUUCGGGUUGUAAACCGCUUUCGCCUGUGACGAAGCGUGAGUGACGGUAAUGGGUAAAGAAGCACCGGCUAACUACGUG